rnacentral:rRNA from 1 species
GAUGAACGCUGGCGGCGUGCCUAAUACAUGCAAGUCGAACGCUGGAAAUCUAGCUUGCUAGAUUGAAGGAGUGGCGAACGGGUGAGUAAUACAUAAGCAACCUACCCACGAAGACUGGGAUAAUCUCUGGAAACGGGGACUAAUACCGGAUAGGUAAUCGGAAGGCAUCUUCUGAUUAUUAAAGGUUAAAACCACUGGUGGAUGGGCUUAUGGCGCAUUAGUUAGUUGGUGAGGUAACGGCCCACCAAGACGAUGAUGCGUAGCCGGCCUGAGAGGGUGAACGGCCACAUUGGGACUGAGACACGGCCCAGACUCCUACGGGAGGCAGUAGUAGGGAAUUUUCGGCAAUGGGGGAAACCCUGACCGAGCAACGCCGCGUGAGUGAUGACGGCCUUCGGGUUGUAAAGCUCUGUUGUAAGGGAAGAACGGUAGAUAGAGAAUAUCUAAAUGACGGUACCUUACCAGAAAGCCACGGCUAACUACGUG